rnacentral:rRNA from 1 species
CAGCUCCUACUGCCUCCACGCGGAUAGCUGCACCUGUAGCGAUGAAGCAACUGGUUACUUGCGAUAGGUUCGGGAACUGAAGCCGCCUUCGAUCCGGAAUGC